rnacentral:rRNA from 1 species
GACGGAGGGUGCUAGCGUUGUUCGGAAUGACUGGGCGUAAAGGGCGCGUAGGCGGCUUGGUCAGUCGGGUGUGAAAGCCCGGGGCUCAACCCCGGGACGGCAUCCGAUACGGCCAGGCUGGAGACCGGGAGAGGAGGGUGGAAUACCCAGUGUAGAGGUGAAAUUCGUAGAUAUUGGGUGGAACACCGGUGGCGAAAGCGGCUCUCUGGCCCGGAUCUGACGCUGAGGCGCGAAAGCGUGGGGAGCAAACAGG